CAGUUAUUGGGUAUCAAAACCUAAUAGCGAAAUUAACAUAACUUAUUAUGGGAUUAGUUUUUAGAUUAUUUAUAGUCUAUUAAUUCAAUCCCGGGGCGUUCUAUUUGGUUAUGUAUAAUAAUAUUUAUAUUAUUUAUACCUCUAACUAGAGCGUACCUUGAGCAUAUAUGCUGUGACCCGAAAGAUGGUGAACUAUACUUGAUCAGGUUGAAGUCAGGGGAAACCCUGAUGGAAGACCGAAACAGUUCUGACGUGCAAAUCGAUUGUCAGAAUUGAGUAUAGGGGCGAAAGACCAAUCGAACCAUCUAGUAGCUGGUUCCCUCCGAAGUUUCCCUCAGGAUAGCUGGUGCAUUUAGAAAUUAUGUAAAAUAAUCUUAUCUGGUAAAGCGAAUGAUUAGAGGCCUUAGGGUCGAAACGACCUUAACCUAUUCUCAAACUUUAAAUGGGUAAGAACCUCACCUUUCUUGGUAUGAAGGUUGUGGUUGUGAUAUAAUGUGCCCAGUGGGCCACUUUUGGUAAGCAGAACUGGCGCUGUGGGAUGAACCAAACGUAAUGUUACGGUGCCCAAAUUAACAACUCAUGCAGAUACCAUGAAAGGCGUUGGUUGCUUAAAACAGC
rnacentral:rRNA from 1 species